rnacentral:sRNA from 12 species
AGAUUUGGUCAUAGAGCGUGACCAAGUAAAACUAAAGAAAAGCUCACUGAGA